GGAGCCAAGAAGACAGCAGCGACAAUUGAUACAAAGGUUUCAGAUGUUUAAAUGAGAAGAGGUACCUAGCUAGGCUUUGCAUGUCAUUGUCACCUCUACCAACUGCUAGCUACUGCUUACAGUUUAAACUUUAAAGUCGAGAAAUAUGUCUUUAUGGCUUAACUUUGGCAUGUGUGAAAUGGCAAAUCAAUCACAGAAUGCCAUUGUCUACAGUACACAUUACCAACACUGUACACAGUGAACAAUUUCCUCUGGCAUUUGGAAGAAGACAACAGUUGUGGAGACUGCCUGCUCUCACUCAGGUUGAAUUCAGGUUGAAUUCCUCUCUGUCAGCAUACCCCGACAAGGAAGAAUCUUGUUUGGGGGUGAAUUCUUCAACCUCAAAAAGGCUGUGGUUGUUCCCCAGGAAAGGGGUAGCUGUCGGUGAUUGGGGGGGGGGUUUGCUUCCCCUGAAGUGGAGCAGUUCAAAGACCUCUGGGGGCUUCAUCUUUCCACAAACACCUGGGAACAGAUCAAUGUGUGUCUGUAACCAAGGGUUCCAGAUGCUCCCUCUGGUAGGAGUGGCCAUCGUAUGGUCCUGAGUAAGAGACAGCUGCUGGUGUUUGGAGGUUUCCACAAAAGUGCCAGGACCUGAGCCCAAGGACCGUGCCCCAGGACGACCUGACAUGAUGACUCCUUGCUGUCCCCAGUCCACCUGACUGUGCUGCUGCUCCAGUUUCAACUGUUCUGCCUUAUUAUUAUUCGACCAUGCUGGUCAUUUAUGAACAUUUGAACAUCUUGGCCAUGUUCUGUUAUAAUCUCCACCCGGCACAACCAGAAGAGGACUGGCCACCCCACAUAGCCUGGUUCCUCUCUAGGUUUCUUCCUAGGUUUUGGCCUUUCUAGGGAGUUUUUCCUAGCCACCGUGCUUCUACACCUGCAUUGCUUGCUGUUUGGGGUUUUAGGCUGGGUUUCUGUACAGCACUUUGAUAUGUCAGCUGAUGUACGAAGGGCUAUAUAAAUAAAAUAAAUAAAAAAGAAUAAAUAAAUACAUUUGAUUUGAUUUGAUACAGCUCCAGCUGUCAGUAAAGGGAGAGUGUAGGUUACUGGAUAGGGCAGGCCAUUUUGUGGUCAUUAUGAAAACAUUCUCCAGUUCCAGUACCUAGAGGGAAAAAGUUUGAGGACAGAGAGAUAAGAGCAACAUAAUAUUCAAUGAUGUCUAAUUUUUGUAAAAUGAAGCCUGUUUCUUUGUGAUGUUUUCUGUCCUUAGAUAUGGAAUCCUGUGAAAGCCUGAUUGCAGAUGAAGAGCGAGGUCCUAAUGAAUGACCCAAACGACUAAGGGUAUAUCCUCAAUGCCAUGGGUUAUAUAUGUAAGCCUACCUAUUUUAGCAAAUGUUGUAUAAAGAAAUACAGUUAAACAUCACACACAAUGUACUGUAUAAACCUAUUACAAUUGGAGCAGGUGUCAUGUUCUGACCUUUAUUUCCUUUGUUUUGCAUUUAUUUAGUAUGGUCAGGGCGUGAGUUGGGUGGGCAGUCUAUGUUUGUUUUUGUAUGUUUUGGGGUAUUUCUAUGUUUCGGCCUAGUAUGGUUCUCAAUCAGAGGCAGGUGUCAUUAGUUGUCUCUGAUUGAGAAUCAUACUUAGGUAGCCUGGGUUUCACUGUGUGUGGGUGAUUGUUCCUGUCUCUGUGUUUGCACCAGAUAGGACUGUUUUUGGUUUUUGCACAUUUAUUGUUUUGUUAGUUAUUUCAUGUAUAGUUCCUUCAUUAAAGAACAUGAAUAACCACCACGCUG